CAAGCCUCUGCUAAUGUGUACCUAGUUUAUACUAAGUGACAAACAGGUUGAGGAGGCGGUGACCUGGUGUAGGUGGAAGCAGCGUUGGAGGAGGAGGAUGAGGUAGCCAAUAUCAACUUUCAAUGCCAGAGUCUGUGCCUACCAUGGUGACCACAGGUAUCGGGGAAUCAGGGUUCCAAUCCGUACAGGGACCCUGAGAAAUGGCUACCACAUGCAAGGAAGGCAG